UAUCCUACGGGGGGCAGCAGUAGGGAAUCUUUCACAAUGGGCGAAAGCCUGAUGGAGCAACGCCGCGUGAGUGAAGAAGGUUUUCGGAUCGUAAAACUCUGUUGGUAGAGAAGAACGUUGGUGAGAGUGGAAAGCUCAUCAAGUGACGGUAACUACCCAGAAAGGGACGGCUAACUACGUGCCAGCAGCCGCGGUAAUACGUAGGUCCCGAGCGUUGUCCGGAUUUAUUGGGCGUAAAGCGAGCGCAGGUGGUUUAUUAAGUCUGGUGUAAAAGGCAGGGGCUCAACCAUUGUAUGCAUUGGAAA
rnacentral:rRNA from 1 species